CGGGGGGGCGAAGCGUUGUUCGGAAUUACUGGGCGGUAAAGGGACUCGUAGGCGGCCAACUAAGUCACACGUGAAAUCCCUCGGCUCAACCGGGGAACGUGCGUGUGAUACUGGAUGGCUUGAGUUUGGGAGAGGAAUGCGGAAUUCCAGGUGUAGCGGUGAAAUGCGUAGAUAUCUGGAGGAACACCGGUGGCGAAGGCGGCAUUCUGGACCAAUACUGACGCUGAGGAGCGAAAGCCAGGGGAGCAAACGGGAUUAGAUACCCCGGUAGUCCUGGCCCUAAACGAUGAAUGCUUGGUGUGGCGGGUAUCGAUCCCUGCCGUGCCGAAGCUAACGCAUUAAGCAUUCCGCCUGGGGAGUACGGUCGCAAGGCUG
rnacentral:rRNA from 1 species